GUCCACGCCGUAAACGAUGUCUACUAGCCGUUGGGGUCCUUGAGACUUUAGUGGCGCAGCUAACGCACUAAGUAGACCGCCUGGGGAGUACGGUCGCAAGAUUAAAACUCAAAUGAAUUGACGGGGGCCCGCACAAGCGGUGGAGCAUGUGGUUUAAUUCGAAGCAACGCGAAGAACCUUACCAGGUCUUGACAUCCUGAGAACUUUCUAGAGAUAGAUUGGUGCCUUCGGGAACUCAGAGACAGGUGCUGCAUGGCU
rnacentral:rRNA from 1 species